CGGCGGGGUCCCACCUCUUCCCAUUCCGAACAGAGAAGUUAAGCCCGCCUGCGCCGAUGGUACUGCAAUGCAAUGCGGGAGAGUAGGAGGCCGCCAUUU
rnacentral:rRNA from 1 species